rnacentral:lncRNA from 1 species
UUUGGGCUAAUUGACAUUGAACUAUUAGUUCGGUUGGAUUGCCAAUCCCCUAAAAUGGGAGUAUUAGCAAUCCCAUGUGUGGUUAGGUAUUAAUAAUCCAAUAUCAAGGGAUUAAAAUUACUAUGAACAAUUAUGUCCAAGGUUAUUUUUGUUAUUUACGCACUUGUGCUUAGCUACAUAAACAACCACAGUUGUAAAAAACCAUACUCACCUCUCUCUUUC